rnacentral:rRNA from 1 species
GAUGAACGCUGGCGGCGUGCCUAUACAUGCAAGUCGAGCGCACAGACGAGGAGCUUGCUCCUCUGACGUUAGCGGCGGACGGGUGAGUAACACGUGGAUAACCUACCUAUAAGACUGGGAUAACUUCGGGAAACCGGAGCUAAUACCGGAUAAUAUAUUGAACCGCAUGGUUCAAUAGUGAAAGACGGUUUUGCUGUCACUUAUAGAUGGAUCCGCGCCGCAUUAGCUAGUUGGUAAGGUAACGGCUUACCAAGGCAACGAUGCGUAGCCGACCUGAGAGGCUGAUAGGCGACACUGGAACUGAGACACGGUCCAGACUCCUACGGGAGGCAGCAGUAGGGAAUCUUCCGCAAUGGGCGAAAGCCUGACGGAGCAACGCCGCGUGAGUGAUGAAGGUCUUCGGAUCGUAAAACUCUGUUAUUAGGGAAGAACAAAUGUGUAAGGAACUAUGCCCGUAUUGACGGUACCUAAUCAGAAAGCCACGGCUAACUACGUG